rnacentral:rRNA from 1 species
GACGAACGCUGGCGGCGUGCCUAAUACAUGCAAGUAGAACGCAGUUGCGAACGGGUGAGUAACGCGUAGGUAACUGCCUGGUAGCGGGGGAUAACUAUUGGAAACGAUAGCUAAUACCGCAUACUACCAGAUGGACCUGCGUUGUAUUAGCUAGUUGGUGGGGUAACGGCUCACCAAGGCAACGAUACAUAGCCGAGCUGGAAGGGAGGUCGGCCACACUGGGACUGGGGCACGGCCCAGACUCCCACGGGAGGCAGCAGUAGGGAAUCUUCGGCAAAGGGGGGAAACCUGACCGAGCAACGGCGCGUGAGUGAAGAAGGUUUUCGGAUCGUAAAGCUCUGUUGUGAAGGAAGCGUUACUUAACCAGAAAGGGACGGCUAACUACGUGCCAGCAGCCGCGGUAAUAC